rnacentral:rRNA from 1 species
UACGUAGGCAGCGAGCGUUGUUCGGAAUUACUGGGCGUAAAGCGCACGUAGGCGGCUUUGUAAGUUAGAGGUGAAAGCCCGGGGCUCAACCCCGGAAUUGCCUUUAAGACUGCAUCGCUUGAAUCCGGGAGAGGUGAGUGGAAUUCCGAGUGUAGAGGUGAAAUUCGUAGAUAUUCGGAAGAACACCAGUGGCGAAGGCGGCUCACUGGACCGGUAUUGACGCUGAGGUGCGCAAGCGUGGGGAGCAAACAGG